rnacentral:rRNA from 1 species
CCUACGGGUGGCAGCAGUGAGGAAUAUUGGUCAAUGGCCGGAAGGCUGAACCAGCCAAGCCGCGUGAAGGACGAAGGUGCCACGCAUUGUAAACUUCUUUUGUCAAGGGACAAAAUCCGGCUCGAGAGCCUGCCCGCGGGUACUUGAAGAAAAAGCAUCGGCUAACUCCGUGCCAGCAGCCGCGGUAAUACGGAGGAUGCGAGCGUUAUCCGGAUUUAUUGGGUUUAAAGGGUGCGUAGGCGGGCUGUUAAGUCAGCGGUAAAAGCCCGGGGCUCAACCCCGGCGCGCCGUUGAAACUGGCGGUCUUGAGAGGGCGAGAGGUAUGCGGAAUGCGCAGUGUAGCGGUGAAAUGCUUAGAUAUUGCGCAGAACCCCGAUUGCGAAGGCAGCAUACCGGCGGCGAUCUGACGCUGAGGCACGAAAGCGUGGGUAUCGAACAGGAUUAGAUACCCGAGUAGUC